rnacentral:tRNA from 1 species
UGCUCCUUGGUGUAAGAAACAUUUCUGAUUUGCAUUCAGGAGAUGGGAUAAAUUCUCAGGAGCAG